GAUGAACGCUGGCGGCGUGCUUAACACAUGCAAGUCGAACGAAGCACUUUAUUAUGAUUUCUUCGGAAUGACGAUUUAGUGACUGAGUGGCGGACGGGUGAGUAACGCGUGGGUAACCUGCCUUAUACAGGGGGAUAACAGUUAGAAAUGACUGCUAAUACCGCAUAAGCGCACAGGAUUGCAUGAUCUAGUGUGAAAAACUCCGGUGGUAUAAGAUGGACCCGCGUCUGAUUAGCUGGUUGGUGAGGUAACGGCCCACCAAGGCGACGAUCAGUAGCCGACCUGAGAGGGUGACCGGCCACAUUGGGACUGAGACACGGCCCAAAACUCCUACGGGAGGCAGCAGUGGGGAAUAUUGCACAAUGGGGGAAACCCUGAUGCAGCGACGCCGCGUGAGUGAUGAAGUAUUUCGGUAUGUAAAACUCUAUCAGCAGGGAAGAUAAUGACGGGACCUGACUAAGAAGCACCGGCUAAAUACGUGCCAGC
rnacentral:rRNA from 1 species